GUUUUGAAUGAAGUUCCACUACAAUCAAAAUGCUUCCAGCAGUCUUCAGACCAACACUGGGAAUAACACGUUAGAAAGACAGCACACAACAGUUUCGACACAAAUAUCAAUAGUUCAGAAGUUGACCUUCCCAGACUCCUAUCAUCUAAAUGUGUGGUGUGAUGCCACUGGGACGUGGGCAAGCAUCCCAGAGGUGGAGCAUCCUUUCCCCUGAGCAACAAAGUCUGAAAAGAGAAGGCUAUUCCCCCGAGUACGCUCCCGCUUACUUUUUGGGUGGUCCUGGUGCUUGUGAUGUGACUGUCAUGAAGCCAUGAAGAAGACAACUGAAUGCCUGAAAAAGACCAAGAAUGAAAGGAAGUGAAGAAUGCAGGAAUCAGAAUCCCGAUGGAAGCUUGGGCCAGGUGUCUCUUGCUAUUUGAAGUAGAACACACUUCCAACAGAUGCAAUACAGUCCACCCUGAGGGAGAAACACACUGAAAAUACAUCCUAACUUGUCUUCCCCACUGCUUCUCAGCAUUUUGGCCAAGAAAAGCUAAGUAUGCGUCCCUCUAAUUGUAUUUCAUUGGGCGAUUUCAGGAAGCUAAAUGGUUUGGGGGAAGAAAUACCCUGCUAUAAUCUUCUAGGACCAAGAGCCUAGUGUUAUAUUCAUCCCAGCAAACACGGUUGUAUGGGCACUGAUUUCAUUCUCCUUGAACUCUUAGGAUUUGGGUUUGACCUUCUGAAAGCCAACUUAGCAGCCAGAUGAGGGAGCAAAUAAUAUCCCCAGCAAUGCUGGUCACCAUGCUGGCUUUUUCACAAACACUUUAAUUCUAAUGCUGCACACUCAGGGUAAAUUAUAGAGACUUAAUUACAGAGUCCAGAGAAGGGGAAUGACAGCUGAGCGGUUCUAAUUCCUAGGCCAAAGAUGUUUUGUAGACCUAAACUUCUUUACUUAAGUUCUGCACUUAUCACUGUCAAUGUGCUAAGUGGGAACCUGAGACAGGGCGGCAGGUGAUAGAUGACUUCUUCAGGAAAUUUGGUUUCUACUUGUUGACAUCAAUGUGUAAUGAAGAGAAUAUCCUUUCUAAAGCUCAAACAAGUAGAAAGGGUAGGGUUUCUAUAUCUUAAAUUUUUACUUUAUUUUUGUUUAUUUAUUUAUUUUUAUUUUUUUGCUUUUUAGCAAAUUCAGUUAAUGUAUAUUUACAGUCCACGUGUAAUAACUAACAGAGACUUAUCAGGAAGAAAAACAAUUGGUCCCAUUUUUAGGACUUGUUUUAGCACCUAAUCAGCUAUUAUUUAUAACAUUAGAAGAUCAGACUCUUUAGCCAGCUUAGAUAAGGAAUAGAGGUGAUCUGUCUGAUCGAUCUUAAGAAAAUCAUUCCCAUCCAUUUUAAUGGCUGAAGUCUCAGAAAGAAAAUGGACCCAGUGGGGCUAUGCCUACAAGCAGAGAUGGCCAUGACCCACAUGGCAGUGUGGUUCCAAGGAGACUCACAAGAUUUUAUUCCAAGGAUUGGCUCAAUACUUCAUUACUGGGAACUCGUGUUUGAUCAGGCAAGACCUUCAAAUCUGAGCUCCUCUGUGGUCAAGGGAAUACUAAUGACUGCCUGACGGCUUGUCACAGACGUUGAAGUUCCCCCAAGAGUUUUCCUUCUUGUUUUUGGCAACUAUGACAGUACAAACUGCCAAGAGGCACUGUUCUCAUGACCUUGAGAGGAGUCUGCUUCCAGCAAGCUUUCAUCUCUAUGUUACAUCUCCAUUCCAUUUCUCUCUAAAAUUUGCAGUCACACUAGCACAGUUCUAAUCUGCAUGUUUGUUAGCUGUACACAAUGCCCUUUCCUAUCUAUGAGCUGUGUCUGAUCUCCCCACGACAUCAGAGUGCGUGAAGGAUCUGGAUCUCUCCUACAUAGAGAAGUUCCGCAGAGACUGCCCAUGCCUUUGAUUUAGUUCACAACCCUUCAAGGUACGGUCUCCACCCACACUUCCUUGUAGAUACCCAC
rnacentral:lncRNA from 1 species